UGGGGAAUAUUGCACAAUGGGCGCAAGCCUGAUGCAGCAACGCCGCGUGAGGGACGACGGCCUUCGGGUUGUAAACCUCUUUUAGUAGGGAAGAAGCGAAAGUGACGGUACCUGCAGAAAAAGCACCGGCUAACUACGUGCCAGCAGCCGCGGUAAUACGUAGGGUGCGAGCGUUGUCCGGAAUUAUCGGGCGUAAAGAGCUCGUAGGCGGUCUGUCGCGUCUGCUGUGAAAACCCGAGGCUCAACCUCGGGCCUGCAGUGGGUACGGGCAGACUAGAGUGCGGUAGGGGAGAAUGGAAUUCCUGGUGUAGCGGUGGAAUGCGCAGAUAUCAGGAGGAACACCGAUGGCGAAGGCAGUUCUCUGGGCCGUAACUGACGCUGAGGAGCGAAAGCGUGGGGAGCGAACAGGAUUAGAUACCCUGGUAGUCCACGCCGUAAACGUUGGGCGCUAGAUGUGGGGACCAUUCCACGGUUUCCGUGUCGCAGCUAA
rnacentral:rRNA from 1 species